rnacentral:lncRNA from 1 species
AUGGUCUGGAACAAAAAACAAAACAAAACAAAACAAAACAAAACAAAACAAAACAUGUAUCUCAAUCCAAACCCACAGGGCAAUUUCCUGAGAAAUGGGCCAGAAUUAGCACUGCUGUGUCAUUCUGUGACCCAGUUUUUGCACAUUGUGGAAGCAGCUGUUCUUAGGGCUGAACUCAGAUCUAACAAGCUGACACCACAACACCACCUGUUGCAGAGCUCAGCUGAAGGCUGGAAUCUGUCCUCUUGUGAGACACUUUCACAGAAUCACAGAAUCACAGAAUUUCUAGGUUGGAAGAGACCUCAAGAUCAUCGAGUCCAACCUCUGACCUAACCCUAACAGUCCCCACUAAAACAUAUCCCUGAGCUCUACAUCUAAACAUCUUUUAAAGACCUCCAGGGAUGGUGACUCCACCACUUCCCUGGGCAGCCUGUUCCAAUGUCUAACAACCCUUUCGGUAAAGAAGAUCUUCCUAACAUCCAACCUAAAACUCUCCUGGCGCAACUUAAGCCCAUUCCCCCUCAUCCUGUCACCAGGCAUAUGGGAGAACAGGCCAUCCCCCACCUCGCUACAGCCUCCUUUGAGGUAUCUGCAGAGAGUGAUAAGGUCGCCCCUGAGCCUCCUCUUCUCCAGGCUGAACAAGCCCAGCUCCUUCAGCCGCUCCUCGUAGGACUUGUUCCCAGGCCCCUCACCAGCUUCGUCACCCUUCUCUGGACCUGCUCAAGCACCUCGAUGUCCUUCUUGUAGUGAGGGGCCCAAAACUGAACACACUACUCGAGGUGCAGCCUCACCAGAGCCGAGUACAGGGGGAAAAUCACUUCCCUAGCCCCGCUGGCCACACUGCUUCUUAUACAAGCCAGGAUGCUGUUGGCCUUCUUGGCCACCUGAGCACACUGCUGGCUCAUAUUCAGCCGACUAUCAACCAAUACUCCCCGGUCCCUCUCCACCAGGCAGCUUUCCAACCACUCAUCUCCCAGCCUGUAGCUCUGCUUGAGGUUAUUGUGCCCCAGGUGCAGGACCCGGCACUUGGCCUUGUUGAACUUCAUGCAGUUCUCCUCAGCCCAUCGGUGCAGCCUAUCCAGAUCCUCCUGCAGAGCCUUCCUACCCUCGAGCAGAUCGACACACGCACCUAACUUGGUGUCAUCUGCAAACUUACUGAGGGUGCACUCAAUGUCCUCAUCCAGAUCAUCGAUGAAGAUAUUAAAGAGGACCGGCCCCAGCACCGAGCCCUGGGGAACGCCACUAGUGACUGGCCUCCAACUGGACUUGC